AGCGAACGCUGGCGGCAGGCUUAACACAUGCAAGUCGAGCGGGCGUAGCAAUACGUCAGCGGCAGACGGGUGAGUAACGCGUGGGAACAUACCUUUUGGUUCGGAACAACACAGGGAAACUUGUGCUAAUACCGUAUAAGCCCUUACGGGGAAAGAUUUAUCGCCGAAAGAUUGGCCCGCGUCUGAUUAGCUAGUUGGUGAGGUAAUGGCUCACCAAGGCGACGAUCAGUAGCUGGUCUGAGAGGAUGAUCAGCCACAUUGGGACUGAGACACGGCCCAAACUCCUACGGGAGGCAGCAGUGGGGAAUAUUGGACAAUGGGGGCAACCCUGAUCCAGCCAUGCCGCGUGAGUGAUGAAGGCCCUAGGGUUGUAAAGCUCUUUUGUGCGGGAAGAUAAUGACGGUACCGCAAGAAUAAGCCCCGGCUAACUUCGUGCCAGCAGCCGCGGUAAU
rnacentral:rRNA from 1 species